GCUCGUGCUCUAAGUCUAUCUUCAAUUUUUGACAUCAGCUAUCAAAAUUAGAUCUUCUCAAUUUAUCAUUGUCUAACAGUGAUCGGAGCGACAAGUUGAUGGCCAUAACUGUAAAAGAAAAAUCAAAACUUAAUUAAAAUAUGAAUCAAUUAAGCCUAAAGAUAUGGACUUUAGUCUAAAGGUUCUCCCAUUAUUUUAAGCGAAUUAGUAGCUUCUACCUCCAAUUCGAAGAAUUAUCCUAAUUUCUUAGCAGGUACUAGAAUCCACAUAGUUGCACAUGAGCCUGACUUUAGCCGGCUCAUCUAUGUACAUCUAUGGGUAGGUUCUUAACCAAUUAUUUUAACAAAUAAUUUUUAGUAAUUGAUUUUAUCCCAGGGUCCUAACAGUAGGCUUUGGC
rnacentral:lncRNA from 1 species